UCUUAUUUCUUUUCUAGAUGAGGAACAUUUUGACACUCGUUCGGCUUCCCAGUGUUACCUCACUUAAAGCGGUACUGUCCAUUGUGAUACUGUGAUAAAUGAAGAAUCAUCCUUCUAACAUAUUUAAGGACACUACGACACGCCAAGUGUAACCGUAAUGCCUGACUCGAGCCAAGUCCCUUGAUCAGCGUCUCUGGAAGUGACCUGAACUUGAACUUUAAACGCACCCACCAGAGAAUCAGUUAACCUUGCCUGCCAUUCCAGGACACGCCUCGUCUAGGGAGGUUAUCAGGUAACAUAAUUAGAUAGACAUUUCAUCUAUCCAAUCAAAAUCCUGGAUGUCUGGAUCGGUCCUCCCUAAGGGAGUUGUCAGAAAGUGAAAGCCCGCCUUUCAGGAGCUGCCAGAAUGUACGGAGGCUGAAAGCCGAGGCCCAAUCUGAAAAAUCCUUGCUCAGCUACGAGACGUCAAGGACAGCCACAAUGCGAGUUGAGGAGCUCCAGAAAUAUAAAAAGUUACACAGACUGGAGGCAUAAACUGCUGGGAUUGAUCCCAUUUAUAAAAUUCCACAAGUCCAGAUUGGAUGACCGGAAGUUCCAAUGACGUCACUUCUGGGUCACAGUUUCCUGGCCCCAACCCUUAUUGGCUGGCUCCUCUUUAAGGGGCACCACCACCACUUUGUGUCAGUCGUAAUUUUGUCUACAGUCUGAAAAGACCUCAUUUGAUUAUCAACUG